ACGAGUAUGCCGAAAUUUGGUAGCCGGGUGGGUUUUAGGUACUCAUAUUUUUAAAUUGUAAGAGUUCAAGUCUCUUUACUCGUA
rnacentral:tRNA from 1 species